rnacentral:rRNA from 2 species
GCAGUCGAAACGAGUUCUGAUUAUUGAAAGGUGCUUGCAUCUUGAUUUAAUUUUGAACGAGUGGCGGACGGGUGAGUAACACGUGGGUAACCUGCCCUUAAGUGGGGGAUAACAUUUGGAAACAGAUGCUAAUACCGCAUAAAUCCAAGAACCGCAUGGUUCUUGGCUGAAAGAUGGCGUAAGCUAUCGCUUUUGGAUGGACCCGCGGCGUAUUAGCUAGUUGGUGAGGUAACGGCUCACCAAGGCAAUGAUACGUAGCCGAACUGAGAGGUUGAUCGGCCACAUUGGGACUGAGACACGGCCCAAACUCCUACGGGAGGCAGCAGUAGGGAAUCUUCCACAAUGGACGCAAGUCUGAUGGAGCAACGCCGCGUGAGUGAAGAAGGCUUUCGGGUCGUAAAACUCUGUUGUUGGAGAAGAAUGGUCGGCAGAGUAACUGUUGUCGGCGUGACGGUAUCCAACCAGAAAGCCACGGCUAACUACGUGCCAGCAGCCGCGGUAAUACGUAGGUGGCAAGCGUUAUCCGGAUUUAUUGGGCGUAAAGCGAGCGCAGGCGGUUUUUUAAGUCUGAUGUGAAAGCCCUCGGCUUAACCGAGGAAGUGCAUCGGAAACUGGNAAACUUGAGUGCAGAAGAGGACAGUGGAACUCCAUGUGUAGCGGUGAAAUGCGUAGAUAUAUGGAAGAACACCAGUGGCGAAGGCGGCUGUCUGGUCUGUAACUGACGCUGAGGCUCGAAAGCAUGGGUAGCGAACAGGAUUAGAUACCCUGGUAGUCCAUGCCGUAAACGAUGAAUGCUAGGUGUUGGA